ensembl:lncRNA
GGAUUUCUCUGCAGCUCCAACUAGCACCAUACCAUUGUGUAGUUGUUGUAUCAAAACAUUCAAAAGGGAUUCUGCUUUACAAAGACCAAGUUCAUAAUGGCUGGAAGGGAGCAUUGAGCAGUGUCAGGUCUUAGUCUCACCCACCCCUCUGUCCUCCUUCACUCCCCAGCUGCUGCUCCCGUGGUUACCAUGGAGGGAGCCCAUUUCCUGCAGCGCUUCAUAGACCCCUACCAGAUGAUGUUCUUCACCAUUUUCGCUCUACUGGCUGGCACGGCCAUCAUCAUCAUUGGUUUCACUUCAAACUCCUUCGUCCACAAGAUGACCUCCCCGGACCCAAUGAGCAGCCACAACUCUUCUCCCCAGACUAUUAUUCCCGGUAGAUAUCCCAUUAGUACCCACGCCAGCCUCUGACAUCAUCUCUGGCUUUAACUCUACAUGGGAUUGGGAAGUGGUGCUUUUGUCACUCAGGAGAAUGUCAGAGGAUCUUACUGUUUAGUUCUAUCAGAUGUAUGGUGUUCAAAAGUAUGUGUGGUUUGUUUAAAUAGGGGCAAACUCAAAGUCAAAUUUUCACUUAGUCAUGUGACUGACAAUUCUUCUUAAAUGCAAGUAGGGAUUUUCCAGAGUGAGUAGGGCUGUGUGUGUCCGUCCUCCUCUCAGACGUGACCCGGAAACCGGGAAAGUGGUCGCUAUAUUUGUUAAAGGUGAACGGAAGAGUUUGCUCCUUUGUUACGCAACUCCUCUAUAAAAUGUCUGGCACAACAGGCAAAAUGUAUUUUUAACACUUAACACAUAUAUUUAGGGAUUCCUCUCCUAUAAAUGGAGUCUCAUUUCAUACAAGCCCAUUUUUUGUUUCCUCCCCUCGAUUACCUCUGACCUGUUUAAAAAGGAGGCGAGGAGAGGACACAGCCAGACUGUGUGUGCGAAGCAUGGUACAUUAUACAUGGUCUGAUUUAAAAUUUAAAUUAAAAAUUUAAAUAAAAAUUGUACUUGAUUUCAGACUAAUACUUCAUUUUGAGAGGCUGCAAAGGUGAACUGAUUUAUACUGCCAUUUCGCUUUGCACAUGUAGUUUUGCUUUUUAAAUACAGUGUGUAUUUCUGCCGUGAAGAUUUGUAUUGUUAAUCAACGAUAUGUUUUUUAACUCAGGAAUUUGACAAACUACACUCCUGGAUGGCCUAGUUGUCAGCUACUGUUAACACGAAGAUGUCUAUUUCAAUCAAGGGUAUGUCUAAAUAUAGAUUUUGUGGAGUAUGACCACUGAAUCCAUUUUUUGUUAAGAGAGUGUGCUAUAUACAGUGUACCUAAUGAUGAAAAUUACAGGCCUCUCAUCUUUUUAAGUGGGAGAACUUGCACAAUUGGUGGCUGACUAAAUAGUUUUUUUGCCCCACUGUGUGUGUGUUCAAAAUCAGGAUAUGGUCAGCCAGAGCAUUCACGUUGAUGCCGUUCUUGCGAACCAUCUUUCAGUUUUUCACUAUACAAUCCAUUCAGUACCUCAGCAACCAAAGUUAACUGGCAAUGUUAUUGUAAAAGACCUGUGUAUCAAGAGGUAUGUUUGUAUGCACUGAAGGACUUGACGCUUCAAGCUCUGACUGCACUUCAUUGUUUGGCAGAAUAAUCACUAUUAUAUUUAGAGAAAGAAAGCUGUGGAUCUUUUAAGGAGAUUUAUGUUGAAUGCUUUCGGUUUUAAUGUGCAGACAGAGUAUAAUAUUCCCCUGCUUGAUGGUUCCAACAUUCCUUUGUGUUUUGGAAUUUGAAGCAUCCUGUCUUACUCUUAUCUCCGUUGCACUGGCAGCCUAUAAAUACCAGAAUUACCAUCCGCCUUGAGUGAUUGUGAGAUCAAAUAUCAUUGCUGAAUAAUAUAAAGUUUUUACUUUUCGAAUGCCUCGGAUUCUGUUGCAAAACAUUUAGCAACAAGCCGUUUACACCAGACACUUGAGUUUUGUUCUUAAACGGAAGUUGUACUUCAGUUGUCUCUUUUCAAAGAAAAUAAGAGGCUGGAAGGAACCCCAUGGACUUCAUUCCACUUUAGAGCACGAAAUAAUUGAUCAUUUAUAGAUGUGCAGCAUGUGCCAAACUAUUUGCAGACAAUUCAGAUUGGAAUAGCAAUGUGUGGAAACAAUACAAUUACAAUGAACUACAACUUCUGUUUAAGAACCCAACUGCUUUUACGUCAUGUUGAAGAGCGUUUGGAAUAAACGGUUGGGUGCAAAACAUUUUGUAACACCAUUGGCAUAAUGAAUACACCCCUGUAGUUAUGGCUUGUCUCUUGAUUGGAAUUAAUUUCACCCCGCUGGGAGAACAGAACAUGUGUACAUUGGAAUGGAAGGGGGUGUCUAGCUAGAAUCACAUCGAUUGGAACAGAGGCUGUAUGCUUAAGGCAUUCAACAAUUGCAGCACAUUCCAUAAGCCCAUUCCUCUGUGGUGGUGUUUGGGAAUGAAUAAAUACCAUAUCCCUUCUGAUACACAAGAUUGUUUCCCCAUUAAUUUCCUUCCUGUGUUUGCGCUGUAGGAGCAGGUCCUAUGUGCAUCACAGCUAACUGCUUUCCCAUCUGUCCCUAAGCCGAGUGAUACUUUCACACACCACGCUCCCUCCGCCCGCUCCGCCACAGACAGGGGAUUAGGGGAGUGUCAUCCUCUCAGGGUCUCUGGAGACAUGUUAAAGGUCUGGGACUGCUGAUUAAACACCUCUUGUCCUCCCGCUUGCCUGCGUCAGUGGUGUGGCCUGGGCUAGUGGGGCUCAGUCAGUCGCACACAGCUCAUCUGUAUGCCUGCUCUGGCACAGUGGAUGCCAAUAACUGCUUGGCAUCCAUAAGUGAGUGUAGAGAAGUGCAUGAUGGGGUGUUGGAUGCUGUGAUACAAAUUGGCCAACUGUGGGGCCCAUUAAUGACUUCUCCAAUCUGGGAGACGCUAAUGUUUAUAGUUUUGUUUAAUGUUGUGUUAGUGUAUGUAAGUUGUUUUGUCUGAAACGUUGUUCCCCCUGCUGCUAUUGGACCAGGUCUCUCUUGGAAAAGAGAUGUUAUCUCAAUGAGAAAAACCUGUUUUAAU